rnacentral:rRNA from 1 species
GAUGAACGCUGGCGGCGUGCUUAACACAUGCAAGUCGAACGAUGAAGCCCAGCUUGCUGGGUGGAUUAGUGGCGAACGGGUGAGUAACACGUGAGUAACCUGCCCUUAACUCUGGGAUAAGCCUGGGUAACUGGGUCUAAUACCGGAUAGGAGCGUCCACCGCAUGGUGGGUGUUGGAAAGAUUUAUCGGUUUUGGAUGGACUCGCGGCCUAUCAGCUUGUUGGUGAGGUAAUGGCUCACCAAGGCGACGACGGGUAGCCGGCCUGAGAGGGUGACCGGCCACACUGGGACUGAGACACGGCCCAGACUCCUACGGGAGGCAGCAGUGGGGAAUAUUGCACAAUGGGCGCAAGCCUGAUGCAGCGACGCCGCGUGAGGGAUGACGGCCUUCGGGUUGUAAACCUCUUUCAGUAGGGAAGAAGCGAAAGUGACGGUACCUGCAGAAGAAGCACCGGCUAACUACGUG